GGCCUAACACAUGCAAGUCGAGCGCGCCCUUUUGGGUGAGCGGCGGACGGGUUAGUAACGCGUGGGAACGUGCCCUUUGGUACGGAAUAGCCUCUGGAAACGGAGAGUAAUACCGUAUGAGCCCUUCGGGGGAAAGAUUUAUCGCCAAAGGAUCGGCCCGCGUUAGAUUAGGUAGUUGGUGGGGUAAUGGCCUACCAAGCCUACGAUCUAUAGCUGGUUUUAGAGGAUGAUCAGCAACACUGGGACUGAGACACGGCCCAGACUCCUACGGGAGGCAGCAGUGGGGAAUCUUGGACAAUGGGGGCAACCCUGAUCCAGCCAUGCCGCGUGAGUGAUGAAGGCCUUAGGGUCGUAAAGCUCUUUCGCCUGUGAAGAUAAUGACGGUAGCAGGUAAAGAAACCCCGGCUAACUCCGUGCCAGCAGCCGCGGU
rnacentral:rRNA from 1 species